GGGCGCUUAGCUCAGCGGUAGAGCACUUCGUUGACAUCGAAGGGGUCACAAGUUCGAACCUUGUAGUGCCCACCA
rnacentral:tRNA from 22 species